CAGCAGCCACGGUAAUACGAAGGGGGCUAGCGUUGUUCGGAAUCACUGGGCGUAAAGGGUGCGUAGGCGGGCAUUUAAGUCAGGGGUGAAAUCCCGAGGCUCAACCUCGAAACUGCCCUUGAUACUGGGUGUCUUGAGUCCGGAAGAGGUGAGUGGAACUGCGAGUGUAGAGGUGAAAUUCGUAGAUAUUCGCAAGAACACCGGUGGCGAAGGCGACUCACUGGUCCGGAACUGACGCUGAGGCACGACAGCGUGGGGAGCAAACAGGAUUAGAUACCCCCGUAGUCCCUGUCUCUUAUAC
rnacentral:rRNA from 1 species